UCGGUUGUGUGAGAAAGAGAGAGAUGAAAUGAUCGUCACAAUCCUAUGUAGAAAAGAGAAGAGUGCGCGUUUGCAUUUGCGGUACCGUUUUGUUCGAACAUUUACUGCAAUUUCCAGAUUGAUUUCGUGACUUAUAACUUUCAUACCAGUCGUUUUUAAAAAUUGAAAAGUGUUUAUUAGUCAAUAGUUUCGUAGGCUGUCGGUUAAUUUCGUUCGUUUUACAAAAAUUCCAUUUAAAUUUUAAGGUAAAUUGUAUUUGAAGUGCCAGCGCGAAAGGACAGCGUGACAAGGAUGGAGAUAUUAAAGAGGUCAUUGGAUAUGUGUGGCUGCUGUCGCGAGAUAUUCCCGACUCGUCUUUUCCCCCUUGGAUCGAGAUUCUUUUUUUCUAGAUGCAGACACAGCAUACGGAAUGGUCGUAGAAUUUAUUGUAUUUUUUAACAGUGACGUGGUGAAAGUUUCCGUUUUGUGAAACUUUUAUUUGUCGAAUACGAAAACGUUCACGUGCUUCGCAAAAUAUCCGUUGCGACACGCAUGAAGUUUGUAUGUCCGUCAGGACUUUUAGUUUGUUACUUAUAUAUUUUAUCUUGUUUUAUUUUUGUAUGUUUUACGUAAAAUUCAUACCUGCGCUUGAAUGUAUUGUAGUUAUAACAAUGUAACAGUUUUCCAAUCUUUAUUGUUAAUUACUUAUAAAUCUUCAAAUUUUAUUGUGGAUAGUAGUACAGUAUUUAAUAUAUUCUAGAAAAUUAUAUAUGAUGGAAAAAAGGUUUUUCUGGAAAUAUAAUCUUCUCAUUGCAAAAUAUACCAAUAAAGUGCAAUAAAGUGUAAACAACUGUGCUAAA